CGCAUACGGUGGAUGCCUUGGCAGUCAGAGGCGAUGAAAGACGUGGUAGCCUGCGAAAAGCUUCGGGGAGUCGGCAAACAGACUUUGAUCCGGAGAUGUCUGAAUGGGGGAACCCAGCCAUCAUAAGAUGGUUAUCUUGUACUGAAUACAUAGGUGCAAGAGGCGAACCAGGGGAACUGAAACAUCUAAGUACCCUGAGGAAAAGAAAUCAACCGAGAUUCCCUUAGUAGUGGCGAGCGAACGGGGNNNNNNNNNNAGCCCUUAAGUGGCUUUGAGAUUAGCGGAACGCUCUGGAAAGUGCGGCCAUAGUGGGUGAUAGCCCUGUACGCGAAAAUCUCUUAGUCAUGAAAUCGAGUAGGACGGAGCACGAGAAACUUUGUCUGAAUAUGGGGGGACCAUCCUCCAAGGCUAAAUACUACUGACUGACCGAUAGUGAACUAGUACCGUGAGGGAAAGGCGAAAAGAACCCCGGAGAGGGGAGUGAAAUAGAUCCUGAAACCGUAUGCGUACAAGCAGUGGGAGCCCACUUUGUUGGGUGACUGCGUACCUUUUGUAUAAUGGGUCAGCGACUUAUUUUCAGUGGCGAGCUUAACCGAAUAGGGGAGGCGUAGCGAAAGCGAGUCUUAAUAGGGCGUCUAGUCGCUGGGAAUAGACCCGAAACCGGGCGAUCUAUCCAUGGGCAGGUUGAAGGUUGGGUAACACUAACUGGAGGACCGAACCGACUACCGUUGAAAAGUUAGCGGAUGACCUGUGGAUCGGAGUGAAAGGCUAAUCAAGCUCGGAGAUAGCUGGUUCUCCUCGAAAGCUAUUUAGGUAGCGCCUCAUGUAUCACUGUNNNNNNNNNNACGGCGGGUGCUAACGUCCGUCGUGAAAAGGGAAACAACCCAGACCGUCAGCUAAGGUCCCAAAGUUAUGGUUAAGUGGGAAACGAUGUGGGAAGGCUUAGACAGCUAGGAGGUUGGCUUAGAAGCAGCCACCCUUUAAAGAAAGCGUAAUAGCUCACUAGUCGAGUCGGCCUGCGCGGAAGAUGUAACGGGGCUCAAACCAUACACCGAAGCUACGGGUAUCACGUAAGUGAUGCGGUAGAGGAGCGUUCUGUAAGCCUGUGAAGGUGAGUUGAGAAGCUUGCUGGAGGUAUCAGAAGUGCGAAUGCUGACAUGAGUAACGACAAUGGGUGUGAAAAACACCCACGCCGAAAGACCAAGGUUUCCUGCGCAACGUUAAUCGACGCAGGGUUAGUCGGUCCCUAAGGCGAGGCUGAAAAGCGUAGUCGAUGGAAAACAGGUUAAUAUUCCUGUACUUCUGGUUAUUGCGAUGGAGGGACGGAGAAGGCUAGGCCAGCUUGGCGUUGGUUGUCCAAGUUUAAGGUGGUAGGCUGAGAUCUUAGGUAAAUCCGGGAUCUUAAGGCCGAGAGCUGAUGACGAGUCGUCUUUUAGACGACGAAGUGGUUGAUGCCAUGCUUCCAAGAAAAGCUUCUAAGCUUCAGGUAACCAGGAACCGUACCCCAAACCGACACAGGUGGUUGGGUAGAGAAUACCAAGGCGCUUGAGAGAACUCGGGUGAAGGAACUAGGCAAAAUGGCACCGUAACUUCGGGAGAAGGUGCGCCGGUGAGGGUGAAGGACUUGCUCCGUAAGCCCAUGCCGGUCGAAGAUACCAGGCCGCUGCGACUGUUUAUUAAAAACACAGCACUCUGCAAACACGAAAGUGGACGUAUAGGGUGUGACGCCUGCCCGGUGCCGGAAGGUUAAUUGAUGGGGUUAGCUAACGCGAAGCUCUUGAUCGAAGCCCCGGUAAACGGCGGCCGUAACUAUAACGGUCCUAAGGUAGCGAAAUUCCUUGUCGGGUAAGUUCCGACCUGCACGAAUGGCGUAACGAUGGCGGCGCUGUCUCCACCCGAGACUCAGUGAAAUUGAAAUCGCUGUGAAGAUGCAGUGUAUCCGCGGCUAGACGGAAAGACCCCGUGAACCUUUACUAUAGCUUUGCACUGGACUUUGAAUUUGCUUGUGUAGGAUAGGUGGGAGGCUUUGAAGCGUGGACGCCAGUUCGCGUGGAGCCAACCUUGAAAUACCACCCUGGCAACUUUGAGGUUCUAACUCAGGUCCGUUAUCCGGAUCGAGGACAGUGUAUGGUGGGUAGUUUGACUGGGGCGGUCUCCUCCUAAAGAGUAACGGAGGAGUACGAAGGUGCGCUCAGACCGGUCGGAAAUCGGUCGUAGAGUAUAAAGGCAAAAGCGCGCUUGACUGCGAGACAGACACGUCGAGCAGGUACGAAAGUAGGUCUUAGUGAUCCGGUGGUUCUGUAUGGAAGGGCCAUCGCUCAACGGAUAAAAGGUACUCCGGGGAUAACAGGCUGAUACCGCCCAAGAGUUCAUAUCGACGGCGGUGUUUGGCACCUCGAUGUCGGCUCAUCACAUCCUGGGGCUGAAGCCGGUCCCAAGGGUAUGGCUGUUCGCCAUUUAAAGUGGUACGCGAGCUGGGUUUAGAACGUCGUGAGACAGUUCGGUCCCUAUCUGCCGUGGACGUUUGAGAUUUGAGAGGGGCUGCUCCUAGUACGAGAGGACCGGAGUGGACGAACCUCUGGUGUUCCGGUUGUCACGCCAGUGGCAUUGCCGGGUAGCUAUGUUCGGAAUAGAUAACCGCUGAAAGCAUCUAAGCGGGAAACUAGCCUCAAGAUGAGAUCUCACUGGGACCUUGAGUCCCCUGAAGGGCCGUCGAAGACUACGACGUUGAUAGGUUGGGUGUGUAAGCGCUGUGAGGCGUUGAGCUAACCAAUACUAAUUGCCCGUGAGGCUUGACCAUAUAACACCCAAGCAAUU
rnacentral:rRNA from 1 species